rnacentral:rRNA from 1 species
UGGGAGCUUGCUCCCUGAUGUUAGCGGCGGACGGGUGAGUAACACGUGGGUAACCUGCCUGUAAGACUGGGAUAACUCCGGGAAACCGGGGCUAAUACCGGAUGGUUGUUUGAACCGCAUGGUUCAAACAUAAAAGGUGGCUUCUGCUACCACUUUCAGAUGGGCCCCCGGCGCAUUAUCUAGUUGGGGAGGUAACGGCUCACCAAGGCGACGAUGCGUAGCCCACCUGAGAGGGUGAUCGGCCACACUGGGACUGAGACACGGCCCAAACUCCUACGGGAGGCAGCAGUAGGGAAUCUUCCCCAAUGGACGAAAGUCUGACGGAGCAACGCCCCGUGAGUGAUGAAGGUUUUCGGAUC